GCAAACUUGGUCAUUUAGAGGAAGUAAAAGUCGUAACAAGGUUUCCGUAGGUGAACCUGCGGAAGGAUCAUUAACGAGUUUGAAAUGGGUUGUAGCUGGCCUUCCGGGGCAUGUGCACGCCCUGCUCAUCCACUCUACACCUGUGCACUUACUGUAGGCUUUCGGGGUGCUGUGGCGGGCCUUUGCUUGCUUGGCUUCCGGCUCCUACGUUUAUUAUAAACACUUUAGUAACAGAAUGUGUAUUGCGAUGUUAACGCAUUUAUAUACAACUUUCAGCAACGGAUCUCUUGGCUCUCGCAUCGAUGAAGAACGCAGC
rnacentral:misc_RNA from 1 species